UACAGAGGGCGCGAGCGUUGUCCGGAUUUAUUGGGCGUAAAGAGCUCGUAGGCGGCUUGUCGCGUCGUCUGUGAAAUCCCGUGGCUCAACUGCGGGCUGCAGUCGAUACGGGCAGGCUGGAGUUCGGUAGGGGAGACUGGAAUUCCUGGUGUAGCGGUGAAAUGCGCAGAUAUCAGGAGGAACACCAAUGGCGAAGGCAGCACUCUGGGACGUGACUGACGCUGAGACGCGAAAGCGUGGGGAGCAAACAGG
rnacentral:rRNA from 1 species